AAUGAUUGUGCCAAGUACGUCGCCUGGCGUGUAAAGAAAGGGUUGCCUGAACUACCGAAAGCCAACUGAUGCUGAAAGAUACAUCUUUGUGGGUGAUGGCAAGUCAAUAGAAGUGCAGGCAAUAGCGCACUUUAGAUUAUUACUGAAAACUGGUUAUUAUUUGGAUUUAUUAGACACUUUUGUUGUACCGUCCUUUAGACGGAAUUUAAUUUCUGUUUCUGUAUUGGACAAAUUGGGAUAUUGUUGUUCUUUUGGAAAUAUGAAGUUUAGUAUGUCUAUUAAUUC